rnacentral:lncRNA from 12 species
CUCCAUGGUGCCACAUUUUGCAUUAGAUUCUGGUCACAUUACUUUCUGUGUAUUGUCUAUUGAGGACAAGGAAAUCUGUCUCAUUCAUCAUUGUCACUAACUUAUGAGGACAGAGCCUGGCACAUAGUUCAAUGUCCUUGAAUUAAAGAGGGAAGAAAAUAAUGAUGUAAGUCCUUGAAGAGUUAGAAAGUAAAAGGCUAGCCAACACACAGAAAGGACACACAAGUUCCUUCCAAGGAAGACAUAAACAUUGUAAUUAUAGCCACUAAACAUUUAUUGAACUCUUACUAUGCACCAGGCCUUGCUAAACACUUUACCUUGUGAUUUCAUUUAAUCUUUCAACAGUCUUAUUCCUGUUUUAUAGAUGAGAAAUUAAGGCUCAGAAAUUUUGAACAACUUGCUCCAAAUCAUAUGGCUGCUAAAGUAACAUAGACAAAUGUGAAGGCUUCAGAUGCUGCUGCUAAAGGAGUUGCCGAGAGGUAGCACAAGGUAUGGGCUCUCAAAGAAAGAGGGCUUUAUAGAUGGAAGAAAUUUACUGAGGUAUGCUCCUCCCAUACUAACAGUUAUGAGACAGAAAGAAGAGAACUUGGGGAGUCCAUAAAAGUUGAUGUAGAAGACUGAAGGAUGUGAUCAUUUCCCAAAGCGGAGGACGUCCUGACAGGGCAACUGUAGCAGGUACCCCUGGUAUUCAUAAUCUGCGCUAGGAACUCACUUGCUGGUGGGUUAUGUCUGUGAGAUAAGGCAUGGCUGGACAAUAAAAGGCCACUGGGCUUCCA